rnacentral:rRNA from 1 species
AUACGGAGGGUACAAACGUUGUUCGGAAUUACUGGGCAUAAAGCGCACGUCGGCUGCCAGGUAAGUGUGGAGUGAAAUCCCACGGCUCACCCGUGGAAUGGCUCUGCAUACUGCUUGGCUAGAGGAAGGUAGGGGAGAGCAGAACUCUUGGAGGAGCGGUGAAAUGCGUAGAUAUCAAGAGGAAUACCAGUGGCGAAGGCGGCUCUCUGGUCCUUUUCUGACGCUGAGGUGCGAAAGCUAGGGUAGCGAACGGGAUUAGAUACCCCGGUAGUCC